rnacentral:rRNA from 1 species
CUACGGGUCGCUCCAGUGAGGAAUAUUGCACAAUGGGGGGAACCCUGAUGCAGCAACGCCGCGUGGAGGAUGACGCAUUUCGGUGUGUAAACUCCUUUUAUAUGUCAAGAAAAUGACGGUAGCAUAUGAAUAAGCACCGGCUAACUCCGUGCCAGCAGCCGCGGUAAUACGGAGGGUGCAAGCGUUACCCGGAAUCAUUGGGCGUAAAGCGUCCGCAGGCGGCGUAAUAAGUCAGAUAUUAAAUCCUGAGGCUCAACUCUAGGACUGUGUUUGAAACUAUUAUGCUAGAGUAUUGGAGAGGUGAAUGGAAUUCUGCAUGUAGGGGUAAAAUCCGUAGAUAUGCAGAGGAACACCAAAAGCGAAGGCAGUUCACUGGCCAAUUACUGGCGCUCAUGGACGAAAGCGUGGGGAGCAAACGGGAUUAGAUACCCGCGUAGUC